rnacentral:rRNA from 1 species
AUAGCUAAAGCUAUAUGUAUUUAUUAAAAAUACAUAUACGAUUUAUUCGUAUAAAAUUCUAGGUAGAAUAAUGAUAAUGACAUUGUCUAUCUAUAAGUCUUGACCAACAUGCGUGCCAGCAGUCGCGGCAAGACGCUAAAGACUAGUGUUAUUCAUCUUUAAUAGGUUUAAAGCGUACCUAGACGGUAAAUAAAGCCUUAACCGGGACUAAUUUAACUAGAGUUAGAUGUAAGGGUGCAUUAACGUACUGUUGAGUGUAGAGAUGAAAUUCUUUGAUACCAGAUGAUUGGCACGGGUUUAGGCGAAAGCAUCACCUUAUGUAAUAACUGACGUUGAGGGACGAAGGCUUUGUGUCGCGAACAGGAUUAGGUACCCCAGUAGUCUAAGCAGAAAAUGAUGAGUGUCAUAGGUUAAAUAUUGUUUAAUCUAUAAAUGAAAGUGUAAGCAUUCCACCUCAAGAGUAAUUUGGCAACAUUGGAAUUGAAAUCAUUAGACCGUUUCUGAAACCAGUAGUGAAGUAUGUUGUUUAAUUAGAUGAUACACAAAGAACCUUACCACAAUUUGAAUAUUUCACAAGCGUUGCACGGCUGUCUUCAGUUAAUGUCGUGAGAUUAUGGUUAGUUCCAUUAAAUUAACGUAAACCCUUACUUUAUUUUACAAUAUAUAUUUAUAUAUGCUUAUAUAUAUUUAUAUAUUAUUAUAUAAAGUUGUUCACCACUAUAUUGGUUAGAUAAUAGGGAGUAAGACAAGUCAUCAUGGCCUUAAUAUUGUGG